UACGAAGGGAGCUAGCGUUGUUCGGAAUCACUGGGCGUAAAGCGCACGUAGGAGGAUGUGUCAGUCAGGGGUGAAAUCCCGGAGCUCAACUUCGGAACUGCCUUUGAUACAGCACGUCUUGAGUCCGAUAGAGGUGGGUGGAAUUCCUAGUGUAGAGGUGAAAUUCGUAGAUAUUAGGAAGAACACCGGUGGCGAAGGCGGCCCACUGGAUCGGUACUGACGCUGAGGUGCGAAAGCGUGGGGAGCAAACAGG
rnacentral:rRNA from 1 species